rnacentral:pre_miRNA from 7 species
CCCUACCCACUGUAAGACCCCCUUUUGGGGACCCCCACUCUAGUCUCGGGAGUGUGAGAGCACCCAAAGAAACACGAGGACCC